rnacentral:rRNA from 1 species
GAUGAACGCUGGCGGCGUGCCUAAUACAUGCAAGUCGAGCGAACAGACGAGGAGCUUGCUCCUCUGACGUUAGCGGCGGACGGGUGAGUAACACGUGGAUAACCUACCUAUAAGACUGGGAUAACUUCGGGAAACCGGAGCUAAUACCGGAUAAUAUAUUGAACCGCAUGGUUCAAUAGUGAAAGACGGUUUUGCUGUCACUUAUAGAUGGAACCGCGCCGCAUUAGCUAGUUGGUAAGGUAACGGCUUACCAAGGCGACGAUGCGUAGCCGACCUGAGAGGGUGCUCGGCCACACUGGAACUCAGACACGGUCCAGACUCCUACGGGAGGCAGCAGUAGGGAAUCUUCCGCAGUGGGCGAAAGCCUGACGGAGCAACGCCGCGUGAGUGAUGAAGGUCUUCGGAUCGUAAAACUCUGUUAUUAGGGAAGAACAAAUGUGUAAGUAACUAUGCACGUCUUGACGGUACCUAAUCAGAAAGCCACGGCUAACUACGUG